ACUGGCUGACCCACAGCAGUUCUUCACUGGCAAGCUUUAUGUUCUCGUGCACCAGCUAAAGCUGCCAGCUGAAGAACUGUUGUGGUCGGCUCUU
rnacentral:pre_miRNA from 2 species